CUUAUCAACUAUAAGAAUGGGUAUGUAUACAAAUUGAGUUGUUGUUGAAGCUAUAUAUUGAUAUAGUACAUAAUUAUGUAUAAAAAUUAUGUAACUUACUAUCGCUUUUAAAAGUUUCAUUGUUGGCCUUGGCCUCGUUUGUGAAACGAAUCGGAAGCUUAAUUCGCCCUUGGGUAAGGAAUCACAGGAAAAGACCUGUGUGCGAAAAGAACUGCAUGGUGAUUGUCUCGAAAGCAUCAAACGCUAGAAUAAGAUAAGUAUAGAAGCAAAUGAAUACAUAUAUUAUCAUUUCGCCAUGUUUGAUGAUUGUAGUAUUUUACAUAAUGUGCUUGACCAGUAAGUUGCAUUUUGAUGUUGACGGUUCUAGGUGAUUGUAUGUUUAUGUGUAGUGACAAUUCAUAACUUGAAUAACUUACACUCGUUUCAAAAAGGCCGUUUAUUUGUGAGAGGCAUUCAGCUUAAGCAAACUGUAGCUUGUAUGUAAAAUCGAAAAAUGUUUCGCUGUUAUUAAACUGUUCUACUUCUGCUGGCGCCGUAAUCUUGUUAACUCGUAGUCUUGCUGUCUGUUGCCCUUUUUCAGUUAUUGACUAACAUGGGUUGUAUCCAAGCAAAUCUGAUUUAAACUGUAACCAGACUUAAUUGCUUCUGAUUUUCAAGUUCAGAUAAAUCCUUGGAUUGCACCAAACUGCUCGAAUCUGAACUUCUUAGUUGUUUUGCUGUUUUGUUAAAAUUUUCCCAUUUUUCCAGACUCAUUCCGAUUCCCACUAUAUAUACCACUCGAGCCUUCGUAAAGAGCUACAAGAAGCCAGCUCAAACAGCGACGUCUCGCAUGACCCGAAAAGGCUGGAAGGCUGCAAAUAUUUGAACGCGGUAAUUAAGGAGACCCUCCGAAUGUAUCCACCAGUUUACAUCUUUCAGAUUCGAAUUUGUCGAUCUUCAAAAAAAGAUUCGCAUUCCAGCUGGUCUUAUAGUGAUGUCCUAAAUUAAAAAGUCACACUAUAAAGAAGAUCUUUGGGCCGAAUCUGAAACGUUACGAGUUUGCCGUUCAGACCAUCCGUAUGGUAGUAUCAAGACUUAUGCUGUCGUGCCGUAUCAGUAUGUUCAAGUAUUUUCCACGGUCGCGGGUGGAACUGUUAGUUAAUCCGGGACCCCUCUGGCUUAAAACUGGUCUUCGUAUCUCUCUAGACCGGUCGAAUCGUACCGCUUUAAAAACUAAUUGCAUCUACAACAAUUUCAGCGAUUUUCAAGCAGUUACAUCGAUUUGUAAUGACAGCUUUUGCAACAUAAACGAUUUCGUCCAGUGAGAAACUCAUUCGUUACUACUGAUGUAAAAUGUUUUAAUA